AUCGAACGCUGGCGGCAGGCCUAACACAUGCAAGUCGAACGAACUCUUCGGAGUUAGUGGCGGACUGGUGAGUAACACGUUGGAACGUGCCUUUUGGUUCGGAAUAACUUAGGGAAACUUGUGCUAAUACCGAAUGUGCCCUUCGGUGGAAAGAUUUAUCGCCAUUAGAGCGGCCGGCGUCUGAUUAGCUUGUUGGUGAGGUAACGGCUCACCAAUGCUACGAUCAGUAGCUGGUCUGAGAGGAUGACCAGCCACACUGGGACUGAGACACGGCCCAGACUCCUACGGGAGGCAGCAGUGGGGAAUCUUGCGAAAUGGGCGAAAGCAUGACGCAGCCAGGACGCGUGAAUGAUGAAGGUCUUAGGAUUGUAAAAUUAUUUAACAGGGGACGAUAAUGACGGUACCAGGAGAAGAAGCCCCGGCUAACUUCGUG
rnacentral:rRNA from 1 species